CUACAACUCUCAAGUUUAUUUAUGUUGUGAUUUUAUUUCUUUUUCUAUUUUUCAUCACAAAGGAGGUUGAUGCACUAAUUGGAUGUAAAACAGUUGAUGAUUGUCCAAAAAUUCCCCAUUUGUUUCCUGCAAUUUAUAGAUGCUAAUCUUGAUGGAGCCUUUCUUGAAGUUGGCUCAUCCUCGGAUUGGGGUGUCUUGACCUCUAACGUGAAUGAAAAGAUAUGUAGUGAGUGUGGCAAUUGCGCCAUUCUCUUUUAUGAAAACACUUUCUCAGUUUGGGGACUUCGCCUUCCGUUCACCAAUUUUGAGAUAGAAGUUCUCAAGCAUCUAGUAAUGGCUCCGUUACAACUUCAUUCAGCAAGUUAGACGUACGUAAAAGUCUACAAAUAUUUGUGCGGAUAAUUUAAGGGAAAUCCUUCACCGUUUUAUUUAAUCUCUUUUGAUGUCACUGUGGUCCUGCGACUCAGACGCGAAGUAGAAGCUUAAUUUCUCUGGUGCCAACCAUCCAGAUCUUUGGGACUCUUAUUGAGUUCCAUCCAUUAUAAAAUAGGUUCUUUCUGAUUAUCCAUAUACACCCAGAGGCUCACACUAUGUUUACACUAUUGAUAACAUAAUGAAGGGUAGAUGUGCUGAAUUGUUCCUCAAGUACUAGACUAAAAGUAUUUUCCUUAUUUUAAAUGGGGUGCAUGUCUCUAAAGAGGAGGACAUUACUACUAAAUAUUUGUAUCAAAAAAAGUGGUUAACGAACUUCAACUUCCAAGACUAGAAACGGCGGACUCCAUAUCUUCCCUCGGGUAUCCCACAUGCGGUCCAAUCAGAUUUCAAAGCGUAACCACUCUUCAAGACAAACACCCUCUAUAUAAACCUUACCAUUUUUAUCAUUUCUUCAUCCUCUUCCACAUUUUCAUCAAGAUUUUCUCUUUCUUAUACUUCUCUCUUGCAACGAUGACACUUCUAACUUAUAACAACAUUAUCUCUGUCAUCCAGAAAGAAUUUAAACCCUCUGCUGAAGAGUUCUGCCAAAAUGGCAUUGAUCUUGAUGAACUAUUUGCCACCUAGAACUUAAAGGUUUAUCUUAGAAUCUUAGAAGGGUCUGUUUACCCGAACAU